rnacentral:rRNA from 1 species
GCUCAGAUUGAACGCUGGCGGCAGGCCUAACACAUGCAAGUCGAGCGGAUGACAGGAGCUUGCUCCUGAAUUCAGCGGCGGACGGGUGAGUAAUGCCUAGGAAUCUGCCUGGUAGUGGGGGACAACGUUUCGAAAGGAACGCUAAUACCGCAUACGUCCUACGGGAGAAAGCAGGGGACCUUCGGGCCUUGCGCUAUCAGAUGAGCCUAGGUCGGAUUAGCUAGUUGGUGAGGUAAUGGCUCACCAAGGCGACGAUCCGUAACUGGUCUGAGAGGAUGAUCAGUCACACUGGAACUGAGACACGGUCCAGACUCCUACGGGAGGCAGCAGUGGGGAAUAUUGGACAAUGGGCGAAAGCCUGAUCCAGCCAUGCCGCGUGUGUGAAGAAGGUCUUCGGAUUGUAAAGCACUUUAAGUNNNAGGAAGGGUUGUAGAUUAAUACUCUGCAAUUU